UGGGGAAUAUUGCACAAUGGGCGCAAGCCUGAUGCAGCAACGCCGCGUGAGGGACGACGGCCUUCGGGUUGUAAACCUCUUUUAGUAGGGAAGAAGCGAAAGUGACGGUACCUGCAGAAAAAGCACCGGCUAACUACGUGCCAGCAGCCGCGGUAAUACGUAGGGUGCAAGCGUUAUCCGGAAUUAUUGGGCGUAAAGAGCUCGUAGGCGGUUUGUCGCGUCUGCUGUGAAAACUGGAGGCUCAACCUCCAGCCUGCAGUGGGUACGGGCAGACUAGAGUGCGGUAGGGGAGAUUGGAAUUCCUGGUGUAGCGGUGGAAUGCGCAGAUAUCAGGAGGAACACCGAUGGCGAAGGCAGAUCUCUGGGCCGUAACUGACGCUGAGGAGCGAAAGCGUGGGGAGCGA
rnacentral:rRNA from 1 species